CUCCUGCAGCAUCCUGUAUUCUGUUUUUAAAGAUAAAGCUGAGUUUUUAUUCUAACUUUGAGAUAACAGAUGUUGAAGUGUAAUAACGUGCUCUGUGUGGAGUCACAGUGGAGAGCAUGCCUGAGUAACCCUCAUCAGCCACUAACCUGCCUUCAUCAUCAUCAUCUUGCCUUCACCAUCAUGGACGCCACUGCCAUGGCUCUUUAUGACACCGGCUUCCCCCUUGGCGAGCCAAUCUGGGCCAAGAUGGCUGCUGAUCAUUACCAUGGCUAAGUAUGGCGAUCACAGAGGGUACCAUGUUGCAAAUAGAAGCUCUGUCUGAAAGCAUCAACAACCUCACAUACCUGCUCAGCCGAGAUGAGCUGCGGCGGGAGAUGAGACGGUCUCAGACUACACUAAUCUGAAGGACACUGACCCGGUGCUUCUGGCUCACUAAUGCAGUCAGCGCUCUGACACCUGUACUGUACCUCCAGCUCCAGCCUAACACUGCAGCAGCCCGGAGCUGUCCCGACCUCUCCUACCAGCCGCUGAUACCUCAUGUGACUGUACUGUCACGCUGCAGGCACACUGCAGACACAAAGUGGACACAGAGUGGACACAGAGACACCUCUUACAUGAAGUGGAAAACAAUUCAGAGUCCCUCGAGAAGAGUUUCCUAUGUUUCUAUUUUAAUGAACUGUUGCUUAAAGCGACUUGGGGCAUUGUUUUUACUACUCUACUUGUUUUCCUAUGCAAUGCAUCCUCUGAUGUUAAUGUGCUCUGUGUAUUCUGUGCUGGUAUACUGAAGGGGAGAAAAGGGCCACAUUAGCAUCCCUUGCUUUGUGUCUUCAUAUGAUAUUCAGCGUAUGAUCCUCUCUCUUCAUUUUUUAUGAACUUUCGGAUGAAAAACACGACUGCUUCCAAAAAGAGCGAGUUAAAACUCACAGCAAGAGAUCUUCCACAAUGACAGUUUUGUCUUGCCAAGUUUUUCAACCUCAUUAUUCUGAAGUCACACACCCUAUUGGCAAUAAAUGUGAAUAAAACAG